rnacentral:rRNA from 1 species
CUAAAGCUAAAUAUUGGCGAGAGACCGAUAGCGAACAAGUACCGUGAGGGAAAGAUGAAAAGCACUUUGGAAAGAGAGUUAAACAGUACGUGAAAUUGCUGAAAGGGAAACGCUUGAAGUCAGUCGCGUUUGCUAGAACUCAGCCUGGCUUCGGCUUGGUGCAUUUUCUAGUGAACGGGCCAGCAUCACUUUUGGUUGCGGGAUAAAGGUCGCAGAAAUGUGGCACCCUCGGGUGUGUUAUAGUCUGCGGCUGUAUACCGUGGCUGGGAGUGAGGAACUCAGCACGCGCAAGCUGUGCUUAGGAUGCUGGCGUAAUGGCUUUAAACGACCCGUCUUGA